AAACCAUGUAUCGAGCAUUUUUUAAUUAAUUUUUUGAAUCGCUCCCAAGCUUCAUACAAUGUCCUAUCCUCAGAUUGCCAAAAAGAGGUAAUAUCAUUCCUUAAUUU
rnacentral:snoRNA from 1 species